AGCCUUCAGCUCCUCAUUUGCUCCUCAUGGUGUGUGCAUUAGUGUAGAAACAUUUCAGGUGUGGUGCAGUUUAGCCAAUGCCUGAUUAAGCACAUUGAAGAUCCCAUUAGUGCUCCUUUCCUCAAGUUCUGGCAAAUCAUCCCAUCACUCAUCACUGCUGAGCCUGGUUUUGCCCCUUUCCCCCUUCAAUGCUAGUUUGAAGCUCUGCUUUGUCCUUCUGACAAUCCUCAGUGCUCACCUCAUAGGAAUUGAAGAGAACACACCUAUCUGUGGAAGAUACAGCUUGAAAAUUUCCUGUAGUUCUGAGUUCCUGUCUGGCUCUCACUGAAGUCACUGGGAAGACAUCCACUUGGGGUCUGUAACUUGUGUGCAUUUGAAUUAAACACAAAAGUCCUUCAGACAUGAUAAGUGUAAAUUCCAGAUGUCAAGGAGAAAAGUCACAAACUACUGGCAAUGGUGAGGGCAAUUAGCAGCGUGGUUCUUCAAGAUGCCAGCACACACAGAAAGGUGUUUUCCUCCCGUCAUGUGCCUUGUGUCAUCUGCCAGCUACUGGUGCUGGGACAGGCCUGUAUCUCCACCACGUUGUCUACAACUGCCUGUGAAACAGACAAAAAUGAAACUUCUCAUUGAGGAAGAGUCUGGUACCAAGAAUCAAGCACAACCUGUUCUCUUGCUGGCAGUGUCAUGUGGGAGCUGCUGGUAUUGGUACCUCUUCCCCGUUUUGUUUGCCAGUCAUGAUUGUGCCCACCAUGCAACACUUCAAUUCAAACAUGCCUGUUCUGUUCAAUGGCUUUGAAGGUAGUUGCUCUCUUCCUUCAUGCCCAUGAGCUGUUGACAUUGUGAUGAGCUGGUCACAAGGGGGUACAUGAUUGGUGACCUAAUUCUAUCAUGGUGCCCAUGAGCCACAAUCAAAAUAUGAUUUUCUCUGUGCAUUGGGACUUAUGUCUAUACCUCAUGCCUCUUCCCCAAGUAAAAGUUUACUAAUUCAAUCUUUAGUACAUAUAUAUCUGUAUAUGUACUCAUAUAUAUGCAUACACACUGUAAGUGGGUGUGUGCAUGACUCGUUCAUCUAUGACUUGCAUGUCAAACAUCUGACGACAAAGCAAAGGAAACCACCAGCUCUCCAGCUUCUGAAGUGAAGCACUGCUGCAAAAAUUAUUAUAAUGAAUAACUGACUUCUGUCUUAGUGGUGCCUUCAUCUUUUUAUUCCUUUUUAAAAUAAAGUCUGUUUUGACUGUUCUGCUAUACUGUUAACAGACGGAUACACUCAAAAUGUUGGCAGUUAGGUUCAAGGCUGGAUUAAUAUACGUUUGUUAUUUUAAUAGCAUAUCCAAAGGCAAAUACUCCUACUGGACUCCACCCUUCAGCUGUGAAACAGAUUGUAAAUCAGUCCCUUUUUUGUUGUUUUUAAAGUAGUUUAGGGGCUUUAAAAUGGUAUUUAACAUUAUUACAGUCUGCUUGAAUAUUGUACAAUUUCUAACUAUUUCUUCUUUUUUUAUAUCCACUUUCCUGCCACUCUGAAGCUUCUAAAGAAAACAGUGCAGUCAAUGCUAAUGCCAAGGUGUAGCAAAAGUGCUUAUACUGUUCUUGAUGACUGUUCUCUCCCAAGUAUUUAGGUGCUAUGAUUUUUGGCUUGCUAGGAAAACCCAACAUUUACAGAGGGAAAGAAUGAAGGCCGGGUUUUCAGACUUUGUCUUUAAGGCUGGAAUGGGUAAAUUUGUCAUUGUGCCAUUCCCUAGGAAUGCUCCAAUAGGUGCAUAGCCAAUGGUCUUUGUCCCUUUGCUGCCAUCCUUAAUGUAUCACUAAGACCAUGGAAAAAAAUAUUCUGCAUCUGGAAAUAUGGAAGGAAAUGGCUACUGGAUCAGGAGCCAGCAGUUCUGACACACAUCAGACACAUCCAUCAAGCACUCCAUGACCUAUGAAAAUUAUAUCCUAAAAUAUCCCUCUUCAUGUGCUUCUAUUUUGAAAUUUCAGUCUCUGGGUUUAUUCUCUUUCCAAAGUCAGAGCAAUGUAACCUGGGUGCUGGAGGAAACUGGGUUUUGAGCUGAUCUUAGAUUUGUGACUGAUUCUAAAAAUAGGGCCAGCCCAUCCAUUAAGAUAAGACUGAAACUCUGGUGACAUUAAGCACAGUUAUAAUAGCUUUGGUGUUCUGGUCUGCAAAAAAAUGCCUAUCCUGUCUAGCAGGGUCAUUGUGCUGGUCUGGUCUCUCAGACCUGGGUGAGAGGUUCCAGGUUAUCAGAUGUCACCUCCUACUACGUCUGAGCAGCUUCUGUCCCCAGAGGGAGAGAACAAGCGAACAUAUGAUGUUUCAGAGCUCUUGUGAUAAAGCUUGAGUACUCUGGAAAGCAAAUCUGUUUCUUGCUCACUCCAUUUUCUUAUGAUUUCAUGUCCC